rnacentral:rRNA from 1 species
CUAAGGAGACGUGGAAGACUCUAAUAAACGACCCAUACGUAGCUCCUGACGUGGCAUCAUAUGGAUCAUACCUUGCCGUGC